GAUGAACGCUGGCGGCGUGCCUAAUACAUGCAAGUCGAGCGAACAGACGAGGAGCUUGCUCCUCUGACGUUAGCGGCGGACGGGUGAGUAACACGUGGAUAACCUACCUAUAAGACUGGGAUAACUUCGGGAAACCGGAGCUAAUACCGGAUAAUAUAUUGAACCGCAUGGUUCAAUAGUGAAAGACGGUUUUGCUGUCACUUAUAGAUGGAUCCGCGCCGCAUUAGCUAGUUGGUAAGGUAACGGCUUACCAAGGCAACGAUGCGUAGCCGACCUGAGAGGGUGAUCGGCCACACUGGAACUGAGACACGGUCCAGACUCCUACGGGAGGCAGCAGUAGGGAAUCUUCCGCAAAGGGCGAAAGCCUGACGGAGCAACGCCGCGUGAGUGAUGAAGGUCUACGGAUCGUAAAACUCUGUUAUUAGGGAAGAACAAAUGUGUAAGUAACUAUGCACGUCUUGACGGUACCUAAUCAGAAAGCCACGGCUAACUACGUG
rnacentral:rRNA from 1 species